rnacentral:rRNA from 1 species
UGUGCACGCUUGUCAUCUUUAUAACCACCUGUGCACCCUUUUGUAGACUCUAGAGAAGCAAUUGUCUUUUGGGAUAGAUUUGGGAACUUGCUGUGUAUUUGCCAGCUUUUGCCCUGUCUCUCUAGAUUCUAUGUUAUUCACAUACUCCUAUGAUUGUAGUAGAAUGUUGAUCUGGGUCCAUGAGUGCCCAUAAAUUUGUAUACAACUUUCAGCAAUGGAUCUCUUGGCUCUCGCAUCGAUGAAGAACGCAGCGAAAUGCGAUAAGUAAUGUGAAUUGCAGAAUUCAGUGAAUCAUCGAAUCUUUGAACGCAUCUUGCGCUCCUUGGUAUUCCGAGGAGCAUGCCUGUUUGAGUGUCAUUAAAUUCUCAACUACACAAUCUAGUGUGGCUUGGAUUUGGGGGUUUAAAUAUUUUAUUGCAGGCUAGGCUUGUCUGCUCCCCUGAAAUUAAUUAGCAGUACCUUGGUGGAACUGUCUACAGGUGUGAUAAUUAUCUACAACUUUAAGACAUCUGCAUGUGCUGCUUUCUAAACUUACUUGUAUCUGACCUCAAAUCAGGUAG